AGAGUUUGAUCCUGGCUCAGGAUGAACGCUAGCGACAGGCUUAACACAUGCAAGUCGAGGGGCAGCACAGGUAGCAAUACCGGGUGGCGACCGGCGCACGGGUGAGUAACGCGUAUGCAACUUGCCUAUCAGAGGGGGAUAACCCGGCGAAAGUCGGACUAAUACCGCAUGAAGCAGGGGCCCCGCAUGGGGAUAUUUGCUAAAGAUUCAUCGCUGAUAGAUAGGCAUGCGUUCCAUUAGGCAGUUGGCGGGGUAACGGCCCACCAAACCGACGAUGGAUAGGGGUUCUGAGAGGAAGGUCCCCCACAUUGGUACUGAGACACGGACCAAACUCCUACGGGAGGCAGCAGUGAGGAAUAUUGGUCAAUGGCCGAGAGGCUGAACCAGCCAAGUCGCGUGAGGGAUGAAGGUUCUAUGGAUCGUAAACCUCUUUUAUAAGGGAAUAAAGUGCGGGACGUGUCCCGUUUUGUAUGUACCUUAUGAAUAAGGAUCGGCUAACUCCGUGCCAGCAGCCGCGGUAAUACGGAGGAUCCGAGCGUUAUCCGGAUUUAUUGGGUUUAAAGGGUGCGUAGGCGGCCUUUUAAGUCAGCGGUGAAAGUCUGUGGCUCAACCAUAGAAUUGCCGUUGAAACUGGGGGGCUUGAGUAUGUUUGAGGCAGGCGGAAUGCGUGGUGUAGCGGUGAAAUGCAUAGAUAUCACGCAGAACCCCGAUUGCGAAGGCAGCCUGCCAAGCCAUUACUGACGCUGAUGCACGAAAGCGUGGGGAUCAAACAGGAUUAGAUACCCUGGUAGUCCACGCAGUAAACGAUGAUCACUAGCUGUUUGCGAUACACUGUAAGCGGCACAGCGAAAGCGUUAAGUGAUCCACCUGGGGAGUACGCCGGCAACGGUGAAACUCAAAGGAAUUGACGGGGGCCCGCACAAGCGGAGGAACAUGUGGUUUAAUUCGAUGAUACGCGAGGAACCUUACCCGGGUUUGAACGCAUUCGGACCGAGGUGGAAACACCUUUUCUAGCAAUAGCCGUUUGCGAGGUGCUGCAUGGUUGUCGUCAGCUCGUGCCGUGAGGUGUCGGCUUAAGUGCCAUAACGAGCGCAACCCUUGCCACUAGUUACUAACAGGUAAAGCUGAGGACUCUGGUGGGACUGCCAGCGUAAGCUGCGAGGAAGGCGGGGAUGACGUCAAAUCAGCACGGCCCUUACAUCCGGGGCGACACACGUGUUACAAUGGCGUGGACAAAGGGAAGCCACCUGGCGACAGGGAGCGAAUCCCCAAACCACGUCUCAGUUCGGAUCGGAGUCUGCAACCCGACUCCGUGAAGCUGGAUUCGCUAGUAAUCGCGCAUCAGCCAUGGCGCGGUGAAUACGUUCCCGGGCCUUGUACACACCGCCCGUCAAGC
rnacentral:rRNA from 1 species